GCCAGCAUGGCAUAGUGGUUUGGUAUUGGAUUAGGACUCCAACGACCAGGGAUCAAUUCCCUGCUCAGCCA